rnacentral:rRNA from 1 species
AGUGAACGCUGGCGGUAGGCCUAACACAUGCAAGUCGAACGGCAGCACAGGAGAGCUUGCUCUCUGGGUGGCGAGUGGCGGACGGGUGAGGAAUACAUCGGAAUCUACUCUGUCGUGGGGGAUAACGUAGGGAAACUUACGCUAAUACCGCAUACGACCUACGGGUGAAAGCAGGGGAUCUUCGGACCUUGCGCGAUUGAAUGAGCCGAUGUCGGAUUAGCUAGUUGGCGGGGUAAAGGCCCACCAAGGCGACGAUCCGUAGCUGGUCUGAGGGGAUGAUCAGCCACACUGGAACUGAGACACGGUCCAGACUCCUACGGGAGGCAGCAGUGGGGAAUAUUGGACAAUGGGCGCAAGCCUGAUCCAGCCAUACCGCGUGGGUGAAGAAGGCCUUCGGGUUGUAAAGUCCUUUUGUUGGGAAAGAAAUCCAGCUGGCUAAUACCCGGUUGGGAUGACGGUACCCAAAGAAUAAGCACCGGCUAACUUCGUGCCAGCAGCCGCUGUAA